rnacentral:lncRNA from 1 species
UCUGGGGGCUAAGAGGUUUAAUUUAAGUAACAUCAUAAAAAGCAGUGGGUGGAAGGGCGCAGUCUCCAUAAUACUGUGUUUAUACACAGCACUUUUUUGGAGUCGGGGGAUUCCCCUGCUGCCAUGGUCUUUCCCCUGCUCCUUUCUGGGCUGUUUCUGCCAUCCUUUUACAGCAGGCUUUGCCUUUCAGUACUUUCAAUCUAGCUCAUCACUGUAACUGCCCCGGUCCUUGCACAGUGCCCAUGGAAAUGGCUCUAGAUUGUGUUGGAGCACGUCCUUUGGGCUCCCACAGACCAGCAGGGAUGGCCGAUGGCUGCAGAAUGCUUCUGUCCUCCCGAAAUGGAGUCUCCUGGGUUGAGGCUGGGUCCAACCACACUCCCCUCCAGCACAGCUUCGAGCAGGGCACUGGAACAGUUAACUACACUCCCAACUGUAUUUAUAAAGUCGAAUUAAAAGUGGACUGAUUCAAGUCUCCACGUUACCAUCAGUCCUUGGGCAGAAGCAGGUGGGUUUGCAGAACACGAUGUACAACAGGCGCUGUUCCAUCACCUGGCUGCAGCCUCUGCCUGUGGGCCCAGGGGGCUGCGAGUGUCUGUAAGGGCAGAAACUAAACAAACAAGCAACUAACAACCAACCAAACAAAACCCCGAAGCCAAACUAACCCCAAACCCGUCAGAACAGUAGAAAACCCGCGAGAAACACGCAUUUCAGCACAGACAGACCCUGCCUCACAGCUUACCGGUGGGACCCUCUACGCGUGUGCGCAGCUCUACCCCGCUGAGGGGCUGCUGCGUGCAGAGGCAGCGACGCGAUUCUCAAGAAACGGGAGGGGGCGAGAAAAAUAAAGAGAAAGAAAACAACGAAUAAAAAACCCACCCCGGUGUUACCGCUACCCAGCCCAAGCGGCGCGGCACUGCCCCCUCACGCCGCUGCCUGAGGGGAAGAGCUGUGGGCCGGGGUCCGCGGCUGCCCCUCCGCCAGCCGCCGCCUGCCCCAUCGUGCCGCAAAUAGAGCCGCGGGUCCGGGUCCUGCCCCCGAUCCCGGUUCCGAUCCCCGUUCUGCCGCCGGUCCCGGACGCAGCACCCCGCCGCCCUCCGCCUUGCCCCGCUGGCCGCCGGGCCAGGCCGGGCCGGGCGCAGGGC